GGUUUCUGCGGCUGUGUAAGGCCAUACUCAAGCAGACACUUGUGUGGUAGAUAUCUGCACACCUAGUGUUUCCGAAUAUAUUAGUUUGAGAUACUGUCGUGAUUUUCGAAUCCCAAUCUCAAGAGACAGUUCUAAUAAUGAAUUUCUCUCAUUUAAGUACGCCUUCUGCAAUCCGCCUGUUGAUAAUAAUGGUUUUAAUAUUACAUGAAAGUGAUGGAUUCACGGCUGGUAUUGGUGCCAAUGUUCCAGGACGAAAACGCAGUGAAAUGAAGCUCCAGCAAAUACCACAGAGACCAAAUCCAUCGAGGUUUGCCAAAGGAACACCACAUAGGAGAAGAUAUCAGUCUGACGAGAUAAUGACGAAAAGAUCGAUGAAUACAAGAGGACAUCAAAAGAAAUCAGAAUUUAGCUGAGCGAGCAGAACAUUUAUCCAAAAAAUUCUCCAGCCAAAAAUUUUUCAGCAAAUGAAAAGUGGAACUUAGUGCUGAGCUUGGAACUAAUUUAAUAGAUUUUUUUUGCAUCCUAAUUAAACAGAGUAAUAUGAAGCAAUUUACUUUAAUUUUCUGUUUUCUUUCAUCCCUUCAUGAAAAUCAAUAAAACUUCCUAACUAAUUUGGUUCUGAGAUAUACGCCAAGUUAUUUAUCCGAGGGGGUGAAAGAGGUUUUUUUCGAGAUGCCAGAUUAAGUGUCUUGUAAUGUUCUUGACAUGUGAAAAUAUGAAAUUAAAACCGAGUGAACUGU